GUGCUUGCUUUGGAGGCACACGUACUUAAGUUGGAACGCUGAAAAUUGGCAUGGCCCCUGAGCAAGGACAACAUGCCCAUCUGUGAAGCAGUCUGUAUUAGA
ensembl:snRNA U6 U6 spliceosomal RNA